AUUGAACGCUAGCGGCAGGCUUAACACAUGCAAGUCGAACGAGUGGCGGACGCGUGAGUAAUGUCUGGGAAAAUGCCUGAUGGAGGGGGAUAACUACUGGAAACGGUAGCUAAUACCGCAUACCAUCAGAUGUGCCCAGAUGGGAUUAGCUUGUUGGUGGGGGAACGGCUCACCAAGGCGACGAUCCAUAGCUGGUUUGAGAGGAUGACCACCCACACUGGAACUGAGACACGGUCCAGACUCCUACGGGAGGCAGCAGUGGGGAAUAUUGGACAAUGGGCGAAAGCCUGAUUCAGCCAUGCCGCGUGUAUGAAGAAGGCCUUCGGGUUGUAAAGUACUUUCAGCGGGGAGGCGUUACCCGCAGAAGAAGCACCGGCUAACUCCGUGCCAGCAGCCGCGGUAAUUC
rnacentral:rRNA from 1 species